UAAGAAUAAUUUAUGAGGAGCUACUUUACUAUUUCAAUUACAUUCUGUGUAAAAUAAGAAUAAUUUACUUUUGUCAUAUGAAAACCAUUCUGAGCAAUAGAUAUAUGACUCUAGUGAAACAAAUACCAUUCCAAAUAUCUGAUGAUGAGAGUUAGCAGAAUAAUACAUUCUAUCAUUAGCUUAUCCAUUUAUCAAAUAAAAUUGUAUGUUAAGAUUC
rnacentral:misc_RNA from 1 species